CGACGUGUGCAGCUGACGAAUACUAAUCGAUCGAGGACUUAACCACAAUUUUGAAUGGCUUUCAAUGGCCCGUUUAUCCAGUUUUGAGUGAACAAACACUCAAUAAGUCUAGUGAUAAUGGCAAAGAGGUCACACCCGUUCCCAUACCGAACACGGAAGUUAAGCUCUUUAGCGCCGAUGGUAGUUGGGGGUCUCCCCCUGCAAGAGUAGGACGUCGCUAGGC
rnacentral:rRNA from 1 species